rnacentral:rRNA from 1 species
CCUACGGGAGGCAGCAGUGGGGAAUAUUGCACAAUGGGGGAAACCCUGAUGCAGCGACGCCGCGUGAGUGAAGAAGUAAUUCGUUAUGUAAAGCUCUAUCAACAGAGAAGAAAAUGACGGUACCUGAGUAAGAAGCCCCGGCUAACUACGUGCCAGCAGCCGCGGUAAUACGUAGGGGGCAAGCGUUAUCCGGAUUUACUGGGUGUAAAGGGAGCGUAGACGGCAGUGCAAGUCUGGAGUGAAAGUCGGGGGCUCAACCCCCGGACUGCUCUGGAAACUGUACGGCUUGAGUGCAGGAGAGGUAAGGGGAAGUCCUGGUGUAGCGGUGAAAGGCGUAGAGAGUAGGAGGAACACCAGUGGCGAAGGCGGCUUACUGGACUGUAACUGACGUUGAGGCUCGAAAGCGUGGGGAGCAAACAGGAUUAGAUACCCUGGUAGUC